AGGGCAGUCUUACGCUUGUGUUUUCCAGGUAUCAUGGUUGAUCUCAAAGCUCUUAAGUGAGGCUUUGAGUGUGUCCUUGAAGUACUUUUUCUGUCCACCUUGCAUGUGCUUGUCUUCCACCAGUUUGUUAUAAAGCAGAAUGGUGUACA